GUAGGUGAACCUGCGGAAGGAUCAUUACCAUUAUCCAUGUAUUAACCAAACGUGAACCCUGGAUUUACGGCGUCACAAUCUGUAUGUGAAAUCGGGUAUUGAGGAUCUCAAAUUGUUGGGCCCAAGUCGAUUGUGGAGGGCUGCCAUUGCUUCGGCUUUGUCGGUCAGGUGAGAUGUUUACGUCUCCUUGGCCAUGCAGCCUCUCGGUCUCUACCCGUUCAGAGCGACGGUCGCAAGAUCUGUUGCACUG
rnacentral:misc_RNA from 1 species